UCAGCUGAAGCAAGAAAGAUUCAGUUACCAUUCUGUCAGAUUACAGUGAGGGCUGCAGUCCUGAUCACCCAUGGUCAAAGCAAAGACUCCCCCACAGGGCAUUCUUCCUCUGUCAUAACCUGUUUGGCCUUUCUCGUGCCUUAGCAUUCUCCCCACAGCCUUGACUGGCUACAGCCUUGGCCUUUGCUGCUUCUCCUCCCUGGGUAGUACACAGACUUCAUGACCCCACCUCUCCAAUGCCACCAUUUCCCUCCACAUAGAGCAGUCUGUGGAACAACAGAAGGAAUCAUAAAACAGAUGGGGAAUAUUCAUUCACUGACUUGUCUGGAAGAUUCCUGGAACUCUGUGCUGCUAAAGGUAUUCAAAUACUUCCUGUGAAAGUCUAUCUGCUACAUUAUGACUAAAGCUUGGAGGAGCAUCCUUUACCCACCAGAGGCUGGCACUAGAAAGCCUCAGAUAUUGGGAGGCAAUCCACCUACCUGUAAC